AGCCACGUAGCGUAAUGAAUAACUCGUCAGUCUUCGGAACCAAAAAUUGCAGGUUCUAGUCCUGCCGUCGUCA
rnacentral:tRNA from 1 species